CCGUCUCUAUCAGAGGAAGCAUUCUCCGCUCAACACGAAAGUCUGAAGGAGGAGAGAGAAUCUUUAACCAAGCUGCAGAAGGAAUGCACUGCCAAGAGAGAGCAGUUCCUCAAGUCCAACGCCCAGCUCACCUUCCGCUGUCGGCAGCUCCUCUCUGAGCUCUCCUACAUCUACCCCAUUGAUGUGGCCAAUCAGUCAGAUUAUGUCAUCUGCGAAGUGAAGCUGCCGAACUCUGAAGACUUUCAAGGUAA